UAGGCUGCAACUCGCCUACACGAAGUUGGAAUUGCUAGUAAUCGUGGAUCAGCAUGCCACGGUGAAUACGUUCCCGGGUCUUGUACACACCGCCCGUCACACCAUGGGAGCUGGUAACACCCGAAGUCAGUAGUCUAACCGCAAGGAGGACGCUGCCGAAGGUGGGGAUUAGCGACUGGGGUGAAGUCGUAACAAGGUAAC
rnacentral:rRNA from 1 species